GCUGCCCGGGACUCGAGCGCUGCGGGCGGCGGGGCUGCUGCGCCCGCCCAGGGCCGGGCCCCGCACCGGGGCCGCCCGCAGAGCGCACUGCGGGCCGGGACAGCGGCCGGAGGGGCGCGGGGCCGCGCUGCCCGCGGGGCCCGACCUGCGGCACUUUCUGAGGGCAGCGGCCAUGAGGGAGACGGGGCCACCGCCCGAGACGGGCUCUGCCCCUGGGGCCCCGAAAGUUUACCUGGAGACCUACGGCUGCCAGAUGAACGUCAACGACACGGAGAUCGCCUGGGCCAUCCUGCAGAGGAAUGGCUAUGCCAGGACAAAGGAGCUGGAUGAGGCAGAUGUGGUUCUCCUUGUCACCUGUUCCGUGAGGGAGAAGGCAGAGCAGGCCAUCUGGAACCGGCUGCAGCACCUCAAGGCGCUGAAGGCCCGUCGGCAGCAGGCUCGUGCACCCCUGCGCAUCGGGAUCCUGGGAUGCAUGGCUGAGAGGCUUAAGGAGGAGAUUCUGCACAGGGAGAAGCUGGUCGAUGUCGUGGCAGGCCCUGAUGCCUAUCGCGACCUACCCCGGCUGCUGGCUGUGGCAGAGUCUGGCCAGCAAGCUGCCAAUGUCCUGCUGUCCCUAGAUGAGACUUAUGCAGACAUUCUGCCUGUCCAGACUAGUGCAGGUGGCACGACAGCGUUUGUGUCCAUCAUGCGGGGCUGUGACAACAUGUGCACCUAUUGCAUCGUGCCCUUCACCCGAGGCCGGGAAAGGAGCCGCCCCAUCGCAUCCAUCCUGCAGGAAGUGAGGAUGCUCUCGGAUCAGGGAGUGAAAGAAGUGACCCUCUUGGGUCAGAACGUCAACAGCUAUAGAGACCUGUCUGAGGUGCAGUUCCAGUCAGCAGCUGCCCCGGGCCUCAGCCGUGGCUUUAGCACAGUCUACAAAGCCAAACAGGGAGGUUUGCGCUUUGCACACCUGCUGGACCAGGUCUCUAGGAUUGAUCCAGAAAUGAGGAUCCGUUUCACCUCUCCACACCCCAAGGAUUUUCCUGAUGAGGUCCUGCAGCUCAUCCAGGAACGACACAACAUCUGCAAACAGCUGCACCUCCCAGCCCAGAGUGGGAGCACACGAGUGCUGGAGGCCAUGCGGCGAGGAUACACAAGAGAAGCGUAUUUAGAUCUUGUGCACCACGUGCGUGACUCCAUCCCAGGAGUGAGCUUAAGCAGCGAUUUCAUCGCUGGGUUCUGUGGGGAGACAGAGGAAGAUCACCAGCAGACCAUGUCCUUGCUGAGGGAAGUCCGCUACAACAUUGGCUUCCUGUUUGCCUACAGCAUGAGACAGAAGACCCGGGCGUAUCACCGGCUGCAGGACGAUGUGCCCGCGGACGUGAAGAGGCGGCGGCUGGAGGAGCUCAUCGCCGCCUUCCGAGAGGAGGCUGCCAGGGCCAACGUGGCGCUGGUGGGGCAGGACCAGCUGGUGCUGGUCGAGGGGCCCAGCAAGCGCUCUGCCUCGGAGCUGUGUGGGAGGAACGACGGCAACAUCAAGGUGAUCUUCCCUGAUGCCGAGCUGGAGGAUGCUGCGGACUGCGGGGCUCCGGGCAGAGCCCGGCCGGGGGACUACGUGGUGGUGAAGGUGACCUCUGCCAGCUCACAGACCCUGAGGGGAGUUCCACUCUGCCGGACAACCCUGUCCCGUGCUGCUGCCUGUCUCUGAGGGUCCCUGCUGCCCGUGGAUGGAAGCAGCACAUUUUCUCCAGGAAAAAACAAGAAAGUGUUGUCAGUUUUUAUAGGCCUCGGGAAUGAAGACUGAGGUUUUAAGGCAGCAAAGCAUCCAUUAGGAAGUGCUUACGGUGACCUUGGAGACUGAGUCA